rnacentral:rRNA from 1 species
GAUGAACGCUGGCGGCGUGCCUAAUACAUGCAAGUCGAGCGAACAGACGAGGAGCUUGCUCCUCUGACGUUAGCGGCGGACGGGUGAGUAACACGUGGAUAACCUACCUAUAAGACUGGGAUAACUUCGGGAAACCGGAGCUAAUACCGGAUAAUAUAUUGAACCGCAUGGUUCAAUAGUGAAAGACGGUUUUGCUGUCACUUAUAGAUGGAUCCGCGCCGCAUUAGCUAGUUGGUAAGGUAACGGCUCACCAAGGCAACGAUGCGUAGCCGACCUGAGAGGGUGAUCGGCCACACUGGAACUGAGACACGGUCCAGACUCCUACGGGAGGCAGCAGUAGGGAAUCUUCCGCAAUGGGCGAAAGCUUGACGGAGCAACGCCGCGUGAGUGAUGAAGGUCGUCGGAUCGUAAAACUCUGUUAUUAGGGAAGAACAAAUGUGUAAGUAACUAUGCACGUCUUGACGGUACCUAAUCAGAAAGCCACGGCUAACUACGUG